UUGCAUGAUGAGAAACCAAGAUUAGCUCUAGAUCAAGAGCUAUCUUUUCGGUAGCGAUGAGCGACCCAUACCAUGUAUUAUCUGAUCC
rnacentral:snoRNA from 1 species